CUUUGAUUCAAGAGUUCCUGAUAUCAUUGUUUAUUAUUGUUCAGUAAUGAAGCUAUAUAUGCUAAUUUGUUCGAUGUUUUCCCUUCUCGAGUGUGUGGUCAUGCAUGGUAAUCAUCUUUAUCUUUGUUUACCUUCAUUCUUGUAAUUUCUCCGAGUAAGUUUCUGAAAACAAUCUUUGCAACUCUGAGAUAUUCCAAGUG
rnacentral:lncRNA from 1 species